rnacentral:lncRNA from 1 species
AGAGUAAGAGGAAUGGUUUUCCUCCUGUUCAGACUACCUCAACUCCAGUUAUACAGCUUUGUUCAUCUCCAAGAAUACCCAUGAUACAACUCAGAAUAUAUGAAGCUCAAGAAGAAGGAAGAUCAAUGUGUGGAUGCUUCAGUCCUUCUUAGAAGAAGGAAAAGAAUAUUCACAAGAGUUUUGUCCUCUCUAAAAGAAAUGCAGGAACGAAGAUGGAGCAGAGACAGAAGGAAUGGUCAACCAAUAACUGACCCAACAUUACACUCCUUUUAUGGGUCACAGGGUGCAUGUGGAAGACCGAGGAGAUCAUGCAUGACUCAAGGUCCAUCUGUCCUUUAUGUGGAUCCUAAAAUUGGACUCAGAUCUUCAGGCUUUGUGGCAAGCCUCUUAAGCAACUAGCCUAUCUUGCUAAUUCAAAAAUAAAUAUCAAAGAUCAAAUGUU